GUAGUCCUGGCUGUAAACGAUGUCGACUUGGAGGUUGUGCCCUUGAGGCGUGGCUUCCGGAGCUAACGCGUUAAGUCGACCGCCUGGGGAGUACGGCCGCAAGGUUAAAACUCAAAUGAAUUGACGGGGGCCCGCACAAGCGGUGGAGCAUGUGGUUUAAUUCGAUGCAGCGCGAAGAACCUUACCUGGUCUUGACAUCCACGGAAGUUUUCAGAGAUGAGAAUGUGCCUUCGGGAACCGUGAGACAGGUGCUGCAUGGCUGUCGUCAGCUCGUGUUGUGAAAUGUUGGGUUAAGUCCCGCAACGAGCGCAACCCUUAUCCUUUGUUGCCAGCGGUCCGGCCGGGAACUCAAAGGAGACUGCCAGUGAUAAACUGGAGGAAGGUGGGGAUGACGUCAAGUCAUCAUGGCCCUUACGACCAGGGCUACACACGUGCUACAAUGGCGCAUACAAAGAGAAGCGACCUCGCGAGAGCAAGCGGACCUCAUAAAGUGCGUCGUAGUCCGGAUUGGAGUCUGCAACUCGACUCCAUGAAGUCGGAAUCGCUAGUAAUCGUGGAUCAGAAUGCCACGGUGAAUACGUUCCCGGGCCUUGUACACACCGCCCGUCACACCAUGGGAGUGGGUUGCAAAAGAAGUAGGUAGCUUAACCUUCGGGAGGGCGCUUACCACUUUGUGAUUCAUGACUGGGGUGAAGUCGUAACAAGGUAACCGUAGGGGAACCUGCGGCUGGAUCACCUCC
rnacentral:rRNA from 1 species